GGGGAUGUAGCUCAGUGGUAGAGCUCCUGCUUUGCACGCAUGAGGUCCCAGGUUCAAUUCCCGGCGUCCCCC
rfam:Cricetulus griseus cell line CHO-K1, whole genome shotgun sequence.